AUGCUCCUGACGCUCACCUCUGACAAGCUGCUGUCAUCCCUGCCUGCCAUGGCUCAACACGUGCCGGGUCUCAGCCUGACACAAGCCAACGCGGUCGCCACCAAACUCUGGGGCUUCCCAGAAGUCGUCAACUGGUUGGAUGACGUGGAUCCUUUGCUCUAUUGCACGCCUUUGCUCAGCAUCCUGGCCAGAACUCAUCUGCUUGUGAAAAACAUCACCGCAACCUCCACGAAACGCUGGAACACGCAGCAGGCUGAAGCGAUUUUCACGGAGGUUCUGAACACCAACUCGAGCCUGGUGAAACAAAGAUUUCUGUACGUACAAGUAACAUGUUCACUCUAUGCUCAGCUCACCAGCGCACAGCAUGUAGCUUGUACUGAGGCUGAGCUUUGUUUCUGA
rnacentral:lncRNA from 1 species